GACGAACGCUGGCGGCGUGCUUAACACAUGCAAGUCGAACGAUGAAGAAGAGCUUGCUCUUCGGAUUAGUGGCGAACGGGUGAGUAACACGUGACUAACCUGCCCCUUUCUCUGGGAUAACGCUCCGAAAGGAGUGCUAAUACCGGAUACUCACAUCGAGGCACAUGCCUUGAUGUGGAAAGUUUUUCGGAAAGGGAUGGAGUCGCGGCCUAUCAGCUUGUUGGUGAGGUAACGGCUCACCACGGCGACGACGGGUAGCCGGCCUGAGAGGGCGACCGGCCAAACUGGGACUUGGACACGGCCCAGAGUCCAUCGGGAGGCAGCAGUGGGGAAUAUUGCACAAUGGGCGAAAGCCUGAUGCAGCGACGCCGCGUGAGGGAUGAAGGUCUUCGGAUUGUAAACCUCUUUCAGUAGGGGCGAAGCGAAAGUGACGGUACCUAAAGAAGAAGCACCGGCUAACUACGUGCCAGCCGCCGCGGUAA
rnacentral:rRNA from 1 species